AUUAGAUUGAAAGGGGCUAGAGCCCAGAUACCAAGGCCUAAAUACAACAAAUCCUAUCCCUAUCCACUUACUACAGCGUACUAGCAUCAAGGUUCAAUCCACCAAAGCUAACAAAACCUUAAGGAGAGACUCAGUUCUUUUAACCCGUAAAGGAUUCGAUAAAACUACCCAUCUCUAUCGCAUCACGUAGACGCACGAUAAGGCUCACCAAGUAGCAUGCACGGUUAGGAGAGACCAUCUCAGACCACCAAGAAACGCAAGUAGUAGGAAACAACCAUAUAGAAGUAGAACCAAGGCCAGGGGGCCAAGAGGAGCAGCAACCGCAUCGUCCAAGGACGGAGGGUGAUGAUAACACAGAUCAUUGGCAUUUCACUCGCGCCUGGGUGAUGAUGACACAGAUCAUUGGCAUUUCACUCGCGCCUGGGUGAUGAUG
rnacentral:misc_RNA from 1 species